rnacentral:lncRNA from 1 species
AGAGCAUGGUUAAAAAAUGUUUCCAUAAUACUUUAGAACAGCUCAGUGCUUGGUAUAUCUUCAUCAAGCUAAACAUCAGUUAGGAACAGAAAAAAACAUACACUUUUUUCCAUUGGCAGCGGGUUAGAGAAAUAUUCUAAACUCCACAUGUAGUAUUAUUCCUCAGCAUGAGGAAGGGGAUGGUGACACGUGGAGUGAAAAAAAUACCUUAAUGAUUUAAAAAAAAAAAAAAAGCUGAGGUCUUCAAACUUUUCAAUAAGCACGUAGGGAAGUAGCUGAACAGAACUGUAAGGGUAAGCAGGGCAAAGUGUCAGAGUUGAUUUAACUCAUUACAUUUAAGUGGAAAAUAAGGGAUGAAAGUUUAGUUUAAGAAAAAUUAAGGAAAUACCUAGGAAUGAGUUUACAAAGUGCAAUAUUUUCUCUCAAAGCCAUAGGGUUAGCAGGUUGGUAUCCAGCAUCUGUGACUGAUUAGGGACAUUUGAGAUGGCAGGUGGCUUUAGGAAAUGGAAACCUUACAGGGCUUUACAAAUACUUUCUGUAGUUAGGCAAAGUUAUUUGAUUUAUUCUCACUGGUUCUCAUUCUACAGCCUGGUUUAAAAUCUAGCAACUUGUCUUAAUCCAUGUUAAUAUUUUCUUACAGAUGCAGUGUUGUGAAAAUUCUCCAAUCAGAUUCUUGGAAGAUGCCCUGGAGAAUAAUAGAGUUACUAGGUUUACACUACUGAGGGCCGUGUUAAGUACGCUAGGCUCCACUGAGGUUAUGCAGUAUGGAGGUCUGCAGAAGUUUAUGGGACUCCUCUUUUGGUUUGGAUGGGAGCCAAAAACAUAGCUCUGAAGCAGGAGAAAGAAGAAACAUUUGGAAGAAUCAAGACAGGAAAGUAAACCCCAUGGAAAAUGGUUGGAAGUGCUUCACAAAUCAAGCCAAUAUAUAACAACUGGCUCCUUAAAAACUUAUAAUAGUAGGUAAAAUAGAAUUUGCAGCGGAGAGUAGUACAACUAUAUGAUGAUUCAGGGCAGGUGGAGUUAAAAUCUCAAUUAGCUUUCCGAAAUAGCGUUCCUGAGGAAUAGCUCAAGGAGCAAAUAUAGCAGAAGCCUGAACAUAGGUUUGUUAUUGCUAGAGAAGAAAAAUCACUUAUCCAAACCUUUCCAUUAUCUGAUAUUGUAAAACCAGUCCAGCAGCGCUCUCUGAGAUGUUAUAACCUCGGCACUUCUCCAGAUCUGCCACCAGCUAUGGAUUUUGUGUGUGUGUGUGUAUGCGUGUGUUUGUAUGUUCUUCUGCAGAUUUAUUUUAAAUCUCCCUUCCUGAAGCUGUUCGCUGUCCUGAUUUAUAGGAUUUUGCUAAGCAUCACGUAGUCUUUUCUGUUCUUUACUAAGUAUGUUUUACUACUUUGUAUUUUUUUCACAAAGAAAUAGAUUUUAUUGGACAGGGGUUCAUACAUAGCUGCAUAAUGUUUGUCUUAUGGAUUUUGUAUUAAACCACUUUAACACUUUUGUAGACCGGAGGAACUCUGCAAAUACUGUGGGUGAAAUGCCCUGAGCUUCAUCUUGCAUGCUUUGAACUGAGCACGGUGAACUUUGCCUAGUUACCAAGCUGACACAUGAACGAGCCAUUUGCAAUUCACAGCGAAGGAGAGAGAGAGAGAGAGAGAGAGAGAGGGUGGGCCUGAUCCUGCUCUUAGCAAAGCCAAAGGAAAUCCUGCUGCUGACUGCAGCAAGACCAGCAGCAAAAUCAUAAUGAGUAUUUAAGAUGAUAUUUCAGAAGUCCAGUAAUGUGACAAUCAUGAUGAAGUGGUGGCUUUUCCAGAGGCAGUGUCUGAAUUAAUAGGGUCUUUCCAGCUAGCUCCUCUUGAAGCGGGUUGGAAGAAGUAAAAUAAAUAAAUAAAAAGUCUCUAGGAUACUUUCCUG